GACAGAGCAUGAACGGGGUAGGGGCAGAGAGAGGGAGACACAGAAUCCGAAACAGGCUCCAGGCUCUGAGCCAUCAGCACAGAGCCCGACGCGGGGCUCGAACUCACGGACCGCGAGAUCACGACCUGAGGGGAAGUCGGCCGCUUAACCGACUGGGCCACCCAGGCGCCCCUACGGCUGCCAUCUUAAGUGGUGUUCUACUCCGAGCCAGGGUCUCUUUUGUCGGAGCAAAGAGAAUGAAGACGGCCCCACGCCUGUCACAUGGUAGGCUCUUCCUCUUUGUUGAAGGAAAAUCAACAACGAUGAGCCUGAAACCCGUGACAGAGGCAGAGACCGUUGGGGAGCGUUCGGGUCUCCCUCCGAGCCCGUUCUGCUCCUUCGGCCAGCCAGCCAGCCGGACUCUGCCUCCCCUUUCCCCCCAGACCGGCUCUGAGCAGACCAUUUGUAUCUUCACUCUGCCUUUUGGGAGCGCAAAAAAGGGGAACGAGGAUAGCAGAUUAGGGAGAGCAGCAAGUGUGUUUGAUAUGGCUCCUUCUUUAUGCACAUGCGUGGUAUGUGGGCACACCAAUACGGAAAUGUAAUAAUAGCUUUUUCUCCUUUCUGCCUGUCUCAGUCCUGCCCACCUCCAAGUCACUUCCUACAUAAAGGCUUCUUGUCUGAUCCA